CAGCAGCCGCGGUAAUACGUAGGUGGCAAGCGUCGUCCGGAAUUAUUGGGCGUAAAGGGCUCGCAGGCGGUUUCUUAAGUCUGAUGUGAAAGCCCCCGGCUCAACCGGGGAGGGUCAUUGGAAACUGGGAAACUUGAGUGCAGAAGAGGAGAGUGGAAUUCCACGUGUAGCGGUGAAAUGCGUAGAGAUGUGGAGGAACACCAGUGGCGAAGGCGACUCUCUGGUCUGUAACUGACGCUGAGGAGCGAAAGCGUGGGGAGCGAACAGGAUUAGAUACCCCCGUAGUCCCUGUCUCUUAUAC
rnacentral:rRNA from 1 species